rnacentral:rRNA from 1 species
CCUGACUGCUAUCGGAUUGAUACUAAGCCAUGUGAGUCAUUGUAGCAAUACAAGGCAGACGGCUCAGUAACACGUAGCCAACCUACCCUAUGGACGGGGAUAACCUCGGGAAACUGAGGAUAAACCCCGAUAGAUCAUUAUGCCUGGAACGGUUUAUGGUCCAAAUGAUUCGUCGCCAUAGGAUGGGAUUGCGGCCUAUCAGCUUGUUGGUGAGGUAAUGGCCCACCAAGGCUAUUACAGGUACGGGCUCUGAGAGGAGAAGCCCGGAGAUGGGUACUGAGACACGGACCCAGGCCCUAUGGGGCGCAGCAGGCGAGAAACCUUUGCAAUGUGCGCAAGCACGACAAGGUUAAUCCGAGUGUUUCCUGCUAAAGGAAUCUUUUGUUAGUCCUAAAAACACUAGCGAAUAAGGGGUGGGCAAGUUCUGGUGUCAGCCGCCGCGGUAAAACCAGCACCUCAAGUGGUCAGGAGGAUUAUUGGGCCUAAAGCAUCCGUAGCCUGCUUUGUAAGUUUCCGGUUAAAUCCAUUAGCUCAACUGAUGGGCCGCCGGAAAAACUGCAAAGCUAGGGAGUGGGAGAGGUAGACGGUACUCGGUAGGAAGGGGUAAAAUCCUUUGAUCUAUUGAUGACCACCUGUGGCGAAGGCGGUCUACCAGAACACGUUCGACGGUGAGGGAUGAAAGCUGGGGGAGCAAACCGGAUUAGAUACCCGGGUAGUCCCAGCUGUAAACGAUGCAGACUCGGUGAUGCCCUGGCUUGUGGCCAGUGCAGUGCCGCAGGGAAGCCGUUAAGUUUGCCGCCUGGGAAGUACGUACGCAAGUAUGAAACUUAAAGGAAUUGGCGGGGGAGCACCACCAAGGGGUGAAGCCUGCGGUUC